UACGGAGGGGGGCAAGCGUUGUUCGGAAUUAUUGGGCGUAAAGGGUGCGUAGGCGGCGCGGUAUGUCUCUUGUGAAAUCUCCAGGCUCAACUUGGAGUCUGCAAGGGAAACUGCCGUGCUUGAGUACUGGAGAGGUGAGUGGAAUUCCCGGUGAUAGCGGUGAAAUGCGUAGAUAUCGGGGAAGGAACACCUGUGGCGAAAGCGGCUCACUGGACAGUAAC
rnacentral:rRNA from 1 species